rnacentral:rRNA from 1 species
UACGGGGGGGGCAAGCGUUGUUCGGAAUUACUGGGCGUAAAGGGCUCGUAGGCGGCCAACUAAGUCGGACGUGAAAUCCCUCGGCUUAACCGGGGAACUGCGUCCGAUACUGGAUGGCUUGAGUUUGGGAGAGGGAUGCGGAAUUCCAGGUGUAGCGGUGAAAUGCGUAGAUAUCUGGAGGAACACCGGUGGCGAAGGCGGCAUCCUGGACCAACACUGACGCUGAUGAGCGAAAAGCCAGGGGGAGCAAACGGGG